rnacentral:rRNA from 1 species
UACGAGGGGGGGCGAGCGUUGUUCGGAAUUAUUGGGCGUAAAGGGCGCGUAGGCGGUCGGAUAAGUCUUGUGUGAAAUCUUCGGGCUCAACUCGAAGUCUGCACAGGAAACUAUCUGGCUUGAGUGUGGGAGAGGUGAGUGGAAUUCCUGGUGUAGCGGUGAAAUGCGUAGAUAUCAGGAGGAACACCUGUGGCGAAAGCGGCUCACUGGACCAUAACUGACGCUGAUGCACGAAAGCUAGGGGAGCAAACAGG